AACGAACGCUGGCGGCAGGCUUAACACAUGCAAGUCGAACGCAUCCUUCGGGGUGAGUGGCAGACGGGUGAGUAACGCGUGGGAACGUGCCCUUCAGUUCGGGAUAACCCAGGGAAACUUGGGCUAAUACCGGAUACGUGCGAGAGCAGAAAGAUUUAUCGCUGAAGGAUCGGCCCGCGUCUGAUUAGCUAGUUGGUGGGGUAAUGGCCCACCAAGGCGACGAUCAGUAGCUGGUCUGAGGGGAUGAUCAGCCACAUUGGGACUGAGACACGGCCCAAACUCCUACGGGAGGCAGCAGUGGGGAAUAUUGGACAAUGGGCGCAAGCCUGAUCCAGCCAUGCCGCGUGAGUGAUGAAGGCCUUAGGGUUGUAAAGCUCUUUCGUCCGGGACGAUAAUGACGGUACCGGAAGAAGAAGCCCCGGCUAACUUCGUGCCAGCCGCCGCAGUAAUAC
rnacentral:rRNA from 1 species